AAUCUCGCGCAAUGGAGGGAACUCUGUCGCAGCGACGCCGCGUGAACGAUGAAGGUCUUCGUACCGUAAAGUUCUGUCCUCAGGGAUGAAGGUCACUUCUCGUGACUUGACCGUACCUGUUGAUUAAGUCCUGCCUAACUACGUGCCAGCAGCCGCGGUAAUACGUAGGGGGCAAGCGUUGUCCGGAAUUAUUGGGCGUAAAGGGUGCGUAGGCGGCCUUUUAAGGAAGAUGUGAAAGGCCACGGGUUAACUGUGGGGCUGCAUUUGAAACUAGAAGGCAUGAGUUUCGGAGAGGGUAGUGGAAUUCCCGGUGUAACGGUGGAAUGCGUAGAUAUCGGGAGGAACACCAGUGGCGAAGGCGACUACCGGGACGAGAAAUGACGCUGAUGCACGAAAGCUAGGGGAGCAAACA
rnacentral:rRNA from 1 species